GCUGACUUAAUUCCAUUUGGCUUCAGAAUAUGAUGCGGAAAGCCUCUUUUCUGCUAGAAUUUUUGUGAAGGAAUGUUUAAAAGGCUCCCGAGGAAUGUGCACUUAAGUGUGCUUGAAUUAUUGCAGGAUGAUUCAUCUGCUUGGCCCCCAAGUUGCAGGAAGACCACACUUUUAAAGGCUCUCUGUAGGAACCUGGUUAUUUUCCGAUGAUUCCGACAUGGCUACCUCCCAAUCUGCAAGUCCAGUGAUUUUCCAACCUCCCUCUCAACUCUGCUUCUCACAAACACCAGGUUCUUCCCUCUCCACAAAAUAAGAAGAGAAUGAAUGUUUUGUUUUCUUUCUACCCAUACUCAAAUUGACAAAUCACAAGGGUUCAAACAAUCCAACAAUGGAACUGUAAACAGAGAAAAACCAACAAAGAGUAGGAAAUGAAACUCAUCAUCUUUAUUACUCAUCAACCACUACAAUAUUCAAAUACAAAAACUGAAUUGAAAACACUAUAAGCUGGCUUUUGAGAGGCCAGGCCUCUCCAUAAUGAAAACAGAGAUUUUUUUUCUCUUCUCUUCCCUCAUUUCCCCUCAUUAUGUUCUUUGCCUAACCGACGCGUCGUCCUUCUUGAGCCACAUGUCUCUUCUCAUAAUUAAAAAACUCUCUAAUUCCAGCUGUGGUCCCCUAGUGUGAUAAUCCCUGCACUUUCUCUCACGCCACUUAUGGUAGACCUUCCAGACUGAUGUUGGUGUUCUGACACUCUCAGGAACUCCUUACAAAUCUCUAAAGGUAACGGGGGAAAAGUUUCCUACAGUGGUUACCGGUUGGAUGAGUUUGUUCCUCAGAAAACAACAGCUUAUCUAAGCUAAGAGGAUCUACAUAUUGCUGAAAUGACUGAGGGAAACACUUGAAUUUGCUGCUGAAUCUGCAUACUAAUAAAACAUAAGUGUGGAUUUUUUUUUAAUUUUUUAAUUUCACGGAGAUUGGCAACUUGUUGCUGAAUCUGUUACCAACGAUCAGAAAAAUUAGUGUGAAAUGAUGUCAAUGACGCUUCAAGUAGAUUACAAGUUGAAAAUUGGUGUCAUUUUUGUUUGAACUUUGGGCAACAAGUGGAUUCAAUGUGAUCUCAGGAAAGUUUCACUGAGGAUGUAUAUGAUGUUAUAGUUUUAAAUCGUGAUUUGCUUGAAAUGUUGUUUGAAAUUGUGAAUUUUGUGUUUCAUUUGCUUCAGUUUAAGGCAGAGAAUUAGAGGGCCUUCUUUCA